rnacentral:rRNA from 1 species
GUGGAUUAGAUACCCUGGUAGUCCUAGCUGUAAACGAUGGAUGCUAGGUGUUGGCAGAUCUAACCCUGCCUGUGCCGAAGCUAACGCGUUAAGCAUCCCGCCUGGGAACUACGAGCGCAAGCUUAAAACUCAAAGGAAUUGACGGGGACCCGCACAAGCAGCGGAGCGUGUGGUUUAAUUCGAUGCUACACGAAGAACCUCACCCAGGUUUGACAUACAGGUGGUAGUGAAGCGAAAGCGGAACGACCCGCAAGGGAGCCUGUACAGGUGUUGCAUGGCUGUCGCCAACU